UCCUACGGGAGGCAGCAGUGGGGAAUAUUGGACAAUGGGGGGAACCCUGAUCCAGCCAUGCCGCGUGUGUGAAGAAGGCCCUCGGGUUGUAAAGCACUUUCAGCGAGGAAGAACGCCUAGCGGUUAAUACCCGCUAGGAAAGACAUCACUCGCAGAAGAAGCACCGGCUAACUCCGUGCCAGCAGCCGCGGUAAUACGGAGGGUGCAAGCGUUAAUCGGAAUUACUGGGCGUAAAGCGCGCGUAGGUGGCUUGAUAAGCCGGUUGUGAAAGCCCCGGGCUCAACCUGGGAACGGCAUCCGGAACUGUCAAGCUAGAGUGCAGGAGAGGAAGGUAGAAUUCCCGGUGUAGCGGUGAAAUGCGUAGAGAUCGGGAGGAAUACCAGUGGCGAAGGCGGCCUUCUGGACUGACACUGACACUGAGGUGCGAAAGCGUGGGUAGCAAACAGGAUUAGAUACCCUGGUAGUCCACGCCGUAAACGAUGUCGACCAGCCGUUGGGUGCCUAGCGCACUUUGUGGCGAAGUUAACGCGAUAAGUCGACCGCCUGGGGAGUACGGCCGCAAGGUUAAAACUCAAAUGAAUUGACGGGGGCCCGCACAAGCGGUGGAGCAUGUGGUUUAAUUCGAUGCAACGCGAAGAACCUUACCUACUCUUGACAUCCUGCGAAUUUGGUAGAGAUACCUUAGUGCCUUCGGGAACGCAGAGACAGGUGCUGCAUGGCUGUCGUCAGCUCGUGUUGUGAAAUGUUGGGUUAAGUUCUCGUAACAAGCGCAACCCUUGUCCUUAUUUUGCCACCCCGUAAUGGCGGGAACUCUAAGGAACUGCCGUACAAACCGGAAGAAGUUGGGGAACAACGUCAAGUCUCAUGGCCCUACAGUAAGGCUACCAACGGCUCAUCAGAGUC
rnacentral:rRNA from 1 species